rnacentral:lncRNA from 1 species
UCCUCUGUAAGAUGGCUAGCCUCAGCAAUCCACUCAUCGGCCCUCUUCUUGGCCUCGACAGCUUUCGAGGCCAUCUCCUGUCGCCUAUCCUUCUCGAGGAUCAGUUCAGCUUCAGCUUUCUUUAAAGCUUCAGUAGAGGUCCCCACUCUCUUCUCCAUCUUGGCAGCUCAAGAUUCGACCUCCUGCAGCUCCUCCUUUUUGCGAGUA